rnacentral:rRNA from 1 species
CCUACGGGUGGCAGCAGUCGAGAAUCAUUCACAAUGGGGGAAACCCUGAUGGUGCGACGCCGCGUGGGGGAAUGAAGGUCUUCGGAUGGUAAACCCCUGUCAUGUGGGAGCAAAUUAAAAAGAUAGUACCACAAGAGGAAGAGACGGCUAACUCUGUGCCAGCAGCCGCGGUAAUACAGAGGUCUCAAGCGGUGUUCGGAAUCACUGGGCGUAAAGCGUGCGUAGGCUGUUUCGUAAGUCGUGUGUGAAAGGCGCGGGCUCAACCCGCGGGCGGCACAUGAUACUGCGAGACUAGAGUAAUGGAGGGGGAACCGGAAUUCUCGGUGUAGCAGUGAAAUGCGUAGAUAUCGGGAGGAACACUCGUGGCGAAGGCGGGUUCCUGGACAUUAACUGACGCUGAGGCACGAAGGCCAGGGGAGCGAAAGGGAUUAGAUACCCUUGUAGUC